rnacentral:rRNA from 1 species
AGAGUUUGAUCCUGGCUCAGGAUGAACGCUGGCGGCGUGCCUAACACAUGCAAGUCGAACGGAGAUAAGAUGAAACCUAGUGAUUCUUAUCUUAGUGGCGGACGGGUGAGUAACACGUGGGUAACCUGCCUUGCACUGGGGGAUAACACUUAGAAAUAGGUGCUAAAACCGCAUAAGCGCACAGUCUCGCAUGAGACAGUGUGAAAAACUUAAGGUGGUGUAAGAUGGACCCGCGUCUGAUUAGCUGGUUGGUGAGGUAAUGGCCCACCAAGGCGACGAUCAGUAGCCGGCCUGAGAGGGUGACCGGCCACAUUGGGACUGAGACACGGCCCAAACUCCUACGGGAGGCAGCAGUGGGGAAUAUUGCACAAUGGGGGAAACCCUGAUGCAGCAACGCCGCGUGAGUGAAGAAGUCAUUCGUGAUGUAAAGCUCUAUCAGCAGGGAAGAAGAUGACGGUACCUGAGUAAGAAGCCCCGGCUAACUACGUGCCAGCCGCCGCGGUAAUAC